CUACGGGACGCUGCAGGCGAGAAAACUUUGCAAUGUGCGAAAGCACGACAAGGUUAAUCCGAGUGGUUUGUGCUAAACGAACCUUUUGACAGUCCUAGAAACACUGUUGAAUAAGGGGUGGGCAAGUUCUGGUGUCAGCCGCCGCGGUAAAACCAGCACCUCAAGUAGUCAGGAUGAUUAUUGGGCCUAAAGCAUCCGUAGCCGGCUCUGUAAGUUUUCGGUUAAAUCUGUACGCUCAACGUACAGGCUGCCGGGAAUACUGCAGAGCUAGGGAGUGGGAGAGGUAGACGGUACUCGGUAGGAAGGGGUAAUAUCCUUUGAUCUAUUGAUGACCACCUGUGGCGAAGGCGGUCUACCAGAACACGCCCGACGGUGAGGGAUGAAAGCUGGGGGAGCAAACCGGAUUAGAUACCCUCGUAGUC
rnacentral:rRNA from 1 species